GCUUUUUGUGGCUGUGUGAAGUUCCUGCUUGUUUCAGGGGCCAUUUUGGGUCUAGCACAGCUGCUUUUACAUUGUGGGUGAGCCAGUUGUGUUGUGUUGUGUGUGAGUAAAGUGUGAAAGUUGUUUUUUUUUUUUUGGCUUUUUGUGGCUGUGUGAGGUUCCUGCUUGUUGCAGGGGGCAUUUUGGGUCUAGCACAGCUGCUUUUACAUUGUGGGUGAGCCAGUUGAUUUUUUUUAAUUUUUAUUUGGUGUGCGUUGGAAGAGGGGUAGUCUUAUACGGCGAAUAUAGCCCAAACCCUAUAUUUUAACAGGAAAAUUCGGGGGUCAUCUUAUACGCCAAGUCAUCUUAUACGCCGGAAAAUACGGUAAUCAGGGACAAAUCUCAUCCUGUUAUAUUUGCAGAGGUCUGCAAACAGGUUUAUCAAGGACAAAUCUCAUCCUGUUAUAUUUACAUCCAGUGUCUGACACAAUUUUCUCCCUUCUGGCUUUUCUAUCAUGUACUCAGAUCCACACUACCUGCGUCUCCCCAUAAGAAUGGAGGAAAACCAUUUAAGUGAAGAGGUUCUUAUGAGAUAGUCCUGAGUGCUGAAGUUAUCCAGCUUUAAGGCACUAGAGAAAAAGGAACAGAACGCAUAUCCAGUGCAUUUAUUAAGAAUUAGGCCAAGAGAAGACACAGCUGUUCUCAUUUGUCAGCUUGUAGAAAUCUGCAAACCUCUUAAUGUCAUGUUUUAAAUUAAAAGGUGGUUUUCAUAA